GGUCGUAGUGACUGCGGAGGAUCAUUA
rnacentral:rRNA from 1 species